AAAUAAGUAAGUACAAGCUCAUCGUAAAAAUAAGAACAAGAGCACUUACGUUAUUAAUGUUCUGUCCAACUUCUUCGACAAGUCGGUCCAUCGGAUACCCAGAUAUGGUCCGCAACGUAGUUCGGGCGGCAUCCGUGUCAGCAACUGUCGGAAACUUGGUCCCAUAAUUCCGAGGAUGGGAACCUUGGUAACCCGGCAUCUGAGUCUCCCGGGUAGAAGCAUACGGGUAACGACCCCGGGAGGACUCCCCAACCUGAUACCUCCGUCGAGGAGGAGUUCGUCGUCG
rnacentral:lncRNA from 1 species